GGACCACCUAGCAAAUCAAUCAGGGCCAGAGUCUCAAUAUCUUCGGAGGCUACAAAAAUCGAUAAGCAUAAAGGGGCAAAUGAUGAUGGUGUUCUUUUCAUGCCAUUUGUGUCUUCUGGGCCAACUUCCUAAAUUGUACCUCGCAAUUUACCACUGUUGUUCCUCCUCAAAUCAGCGCCACCAACAAUAUAUAUAACUUGCAAGCAAAUCACACAACAACAAAGACAUGAUAAGAUAGAGAAACAAGGCUCAAUAGAAAGAAACCCCAGAGCUAAAGACGGGUAAAUACAAACUGCCAAAAACCCUUCCUGCCACGUCAGCAACAGGAUGCCGCGCGUGGGCUCGCUAACUGAAUUUCUGCCACUGGCAAGCUUCAUAGGAGACAAUACCCCAAUCUCUCGCUCUCCCAUUCUCUCUCGCUCUGCCUCUCUCUGUCUCUCUAUUCAUAUCUACAAUGACAAAAGGGAUUCCCUGAAUUCCAUUUUUCUUUUAUUAUUCAUCUCACAGAAAUCUCAUUUUUCAUGGAUCCGAGGGCGGAUCUUUGCGUGCUGAGUUGAAACCACAAACAGUCUGUCCCCUGUAAGCUGGUUCCAGGUUUUAACUUCUCUGCCUGUAAUUUCUUAUCCAUUCCUUAGCAUUUUUAAUCCCAUUCCGAUUAUAUUUAGUCUUCCAGAAUUAUCUUUUUUCUGUUUCAGAAUUGGAAUUUCAGAAAAUUAAGAUCAAUCGAUCAAAAUCUGCACUUCUUCCUUAUCUUCCUUCAAAUGCAAUUAUUCCCUACAUUAUUGUUCCUAGAGCUCUCAAAUACCCGUCAAAUUCUUAAAAGUUAGUGAAUUUCUCGUUUUAAAUCGAUUGAUAUCACAAGUCGAUAAUCAUAAAAUGGCUGAACUAGAGCAAUCAACGAAACCUGUUUUCCAAAGACCUCCGGGUUACAGAGACCCGAGCAAUCCGGUCCCGAGACCGCCACUUCGAAAAGGAGUCCUGCCACCUUCAUUCCAGCUGAGGGGCAAUCGCAAAAUCUGUAGUAGUCGUCUAUGCUGUUUUAUCCUCUGCAUUACCUUCGCAACAAUCUUAUUCUUCCUAAGAUUGCUGCUUGCGUUUGUCUACCUCUGGUUCGAUCCAAAACUUCCCGUUUUCCACGUCCAGUCAUUUAAGAUCCCUAUUUUUAAUGUCAGUGCUAAACCCGACGGCACCUAUCUAAAUGCGGCGACGGUGGCGAGAGUGGAGGUUAAGAACCCAAACUCUAGACUAGCGCAUCGAUACAGUGUGUACCAGGUGGACGUGACACUGGGGAAUGAUCAGGGGACUGAGUUGGGAUCCACGACUCUGCCAGGGUUCACUCAUGCUAAAAGGAGCACUACGAGUCUUAAGAUUGAGACUCAACUGAAGAACCAGCUGAUCGACGAUGGGACAGGGUCAAGGCUCAAGACUCGGUAUAAAAGCAGGAAUUUGGUGGUGAACGUGAGGGUGAAGACCAGUGUGGGUUUGGGCGUCGUGAAAGGAUUCAAGAUAGGGAUGUUAGCGGUGGCUGUCUUGUGUGAUGGUAUAACGUUGAAGGAGGUUGACGGUGGUCAUAUGCCCAGAUGUACUAUUCGCACUCUCAAAUGGUAAGAAUUACGAUUCUCUCAUGUUUUACGACUUCAUUGCUCUGUUACUGUUACUGUAUGUGUGCUCUAGUUAAGACCAUUAGCAACUUUGAAAUAUGCCAUCUUAAAAGAAUAGGUGAAUUGACGCUUCUGAUUUUAGAUUGUUGCUUUGACUGCAUGGUCAAUUUAAGCUGACUGGUUUUUUGUUUCCUUUUUGUGCAUGGAGGUUGGUGGUAAAAAAGAAGAAUGGUGAUACAAUUGUAAUCAUUUUUAUUAAAAAAAAAAAAUGACUGUAAUAUUUACAUACAAUAUUCUUUACUUUAAUGUUGGGGAGGGUAAGGAGACGGGAGAUUUGGGGGUGUCAUAGCAUCGACAACAGUCAAACGUGGGUCCAUGUCUACACUUUGGUUCCGAUUAUGAUGUAAUUGUAAUGAGGAUACAAACGUAAACUUAAUUGUUUGUUUAAUUUUAGUGGUUGAUGGGGUUUAUUUUAUACCACAUUUCUUAUCUAUUUGAUAUAUUUUUUUUCUGGUGAAGAAUGAAGAAUCUUAUCGGAG
rnacentral:misc_RNA from 1 species